AUUGAACGCUGGCGGCAUGCCUUACACAUGCAAGUCGAACGGCAGCACGGGAGCAAUCCUGGUGGCGAGUGGCGAACGGGUGAGUAAUAUAUCGGAACGUGCCCAGUAGUGGGGGAUAGCCCGGCGAAAGCCGGAUUAAUACCGCAUACGACCUGUGGGUGAAAGCGGGGGAUCGCAAGACCUCGCGCUAUUGGAGCGGCCGAUAUCAGAUUAGCUUGUUGGCGGGGUAAAAGCCCACCAAGGCGACGAUCUGUAGCUGGUCUGAGAGGACGACCAGCCACACUGGGACUGAGACACGGCCCAGACUCCUACGGGAGGCAGCAGUGGGGAAUUUUGGACAAUGGGCGCAAGCCUGAUCCAGCCGUGCCGCGUGUGGGAAGAAGGCCUUCGGGUUGUAAACCACUUUUGUCAGGGAAGAAACGGUUUGACUUAAUACGUCGAGCUAAUGACGGUACCUGAAGAAUAAGCACCGGCUAACUACGUG
rnacentral:rRNA from 1 species